GCCCGAAUAGCUCAGUCGGUAGAGCAUCAGACUUUUAAUCUGAGGGUUCAAGUCCCUGUUCGGGCG
rfam:Salmo salar isolate Sally breed double haploid chromosome ssa26, whole genome shotgun sequence.